AGCGAACGCUGGCGGCAGGCCUAACACAUGCAAGUCGAACGGCAGCACAGUAAGAGCUUGCUCUUACGGGUGGCGAGUGGCGGACGGGUGAGGAAUACAUGGGAAUAUACUUUUUCGCGGGGGAUAAUGCAGGGAAACUUACGCUAAUACAGCAUACGACCUACGGGUGAAAGCAGGGGAUCUUCGGACCUUUCGCGAUUGAAUGAGCCGAUGUCGGAUUAGCUAGUUGGCGGGGUAAAGGCGGAUCAAGGCGACGAUCCGUAGCUGGUCUGAGAGGAUGGUCAGCCACACUGGAACUGAGACACGGUCCAGACUCCUACAGGAGGCAGCAGUCGAGAAUAUUGGACGAUGGGCGAGAGCCGGAUCCAGCCAUACCGCGUAAGUCAAGAAGGCCUUCGGCUUGUAGAACCCUUUUGUUGGGAGAGAAAAGCAACACUUUAAUACCCCGCUAUUCUGACGGUACCCGAAGAAUAAGCACCGGCUAACUUCGUG
rnacentral:rRNA from 1 species